UCGUACGACUCGACAACUGCGAUAAAUGGAAGUGGUGGGCAUCAACCUUGUCUGAUCUUUCGUCCUGCUACCCCUGACAAUCUUGCUGGGACUGCUGUUCAUUCUCCAUGCUCAAUUAACGAAACGACCAGCUCCAAUGUAGUCAGCCAUUAAUCAGCACUGGCUAAUGGCACUGACUACCGCGCGCAGCGGCUGACCACAACAAUGAACUACUGCACGGAAUUACGUGAACGCGCAGCAGCAGUAGCACCGCCGCUGCUACUGAUGCGAGGUAAGAUGCUAAACAGCAAGCCAGCGCGUAUCAUGCACAGCAAAUUAAAAGAAGGAAUCGACACACGUACGGUCUACGGAAACAAGGAACGCGAGGGAAGCACCAACAAUAAGAACACAGGAUUGCAUCACGAGCGGCAGAGAUCGUUUGCGAACGGAAGCUCGCGCGAGUGAGGGCAAACAGCCUGCCCCGUGCAAGAGCAAGAAGCAGUCGGCAAAGUGGAAAGGGCGAAGAGAUGAGGUACUGGGAAAGAGAGGCACAAGGGUCUAGGUUGGGUUAGAUUAUGUGUCAACGGCUGUGAGGGCAAUAGGUAGCAAUAGUACGGCACAGCCGUGUAGUUAGACUGAAAACUUUGUCAGUAACAACGGCGAUGAAAUCAAUGUAAAAGUGUAAUGUGGAAAGCAAUUGUAACAACAACCACUUCAAGAAAAUCAAGCUAAACGAAUAGAUCCUUCAUCAAAAAAAAAUACCAUGUGUCGAAUUAUUGGAAAUUGGUGAUAGUUCUCGGAAAAGUAGCGGCAGAACCUAAAAUACGCCGCUGAACGUUGUUAGUCAACAGGUGCCGAUGUGACAUUUAAGAACGGCCCUAAUCAGCAUCAAAAGCGAACGGUAACGCUAGAGGCCGCGGAGGGUUCUAUCUCGUUAUCCUCGAGAGGGGGAUCUAAAAUUUUCACACACCUCCAAUAAAAAUAAUCACGACAGUAUCGGCAAAAUGCUCAAUUGCAGCCUACAUGACUAGAAAAAUAGCAUUGUCCUGAAUGGAAAAGAACGUUGAUUCGAGGCAGCUGUGAUGCCGAAAACGCACAUGGUCGUCUCUACCAGUCAUCGCGAUAUAGAGUCAAUCGCGUAUUUGCUGGGUCAGUAAGUAGUCAUCAUGACACGAAUAUUAACACUUUUUUUUAGUAGGCUCUUAAAGUUGCUUGCGAUUUCGCGUCCUAGCACCCUUAAUGUAGUGCUCGACAUAAGUUUGCAUUACAUCAUGUCGAUGAGUCCGUUGACAAUAAGACUAUUGGCCCAGGUACUGUAACGGCCUAAAAUUCGAAUUUGGCGGAACAAUUCAUUGCUAAUGAGUGUAUAGACUCACGUGCAUUGCUUUAUUUAUGUGCGACGCUCGAAAAAGUUGACCAAUAUGACUAUACAAGCAACACUUUGGAGUAACACCUUAUCACACAACUCGCGAAAGCAGUCUUGAAACUUUAAAAAAAAUGCCGUGCCCAUUCUCCUAAGUAUAGAUGACUCUUAAGUUUAACUAAAAAAUAGCUGGCUUGCAUCCUGUCUUAUCUCUACUUGUCAAUAUCAAUAUGAAGAUUUACUGAUACAUGCCUGCGCUGCGUACCUUUGUCGAUCGACUUGUCUCCCCGACAUCGACCAUUAGACCGUACAAUCUCAAGCGGCUUAGGAUCUUUCACCGUCGAUGAGUCUGAUCGAUUGUCCGUCUCUCCCAUGAUCCUUAUAAAAGUAUUCAUUGUUUAUCAAUUGAUUUGAACGUAUCAAUAGGACAAAGUUAAAUUCUCGAUUUCGACAGCUAAUCAAUAUUUUCAGAUUAUCCUCUGACAUAAUAAUCAUUAGUUUAUAUAUAUAUAUAAAUAA